rnacentral:misc_RNA from 1 species
CAGCUGGAANCNUAGCCAAACGACUAUAAAUAAAACUGGCCUUAUGCAAGUCAGCAUUUGCUGGCAACACUUUCGAAUUGCGGGGAACCCCUAAGAGCCUUUAACACCAAACCAGUAUGGGAAAUCUGCUGGCGGCCCGUGGGAAACUACGGGGUAUGGUAACAGUUUAAAGGAUGAGCAGUCAUGGCAACAUGGCUGUGAAAUGGGCAAUCCGCAGCGAAGCCCCUGAUGUUCAUGGUAGUUAUUUCAUCUGCGCCUGCACAUGAAAAAGACCACCAAACAUGGGGAACGUUCACAGACUAAGUGGAAGUGGGUGGAGUAUAGCUACUCUGCUUAAGAUAUAGUCGGGCCCCUUUGGAAACUCUGGGGAGGAAAGUCUACCUGGUCUUGUCUUUGUACAAAUCAGGUACUUUCCACAUCAAGCUGUUCCGUAGGUGAACCUGCGGAAGGAUCAUUACCCUUCUAUCAGGGGAUUGGUGUCGGUAUUUCAGGCUUCGGCUUGGUAUUGCCCUUUCCUUUCUGAUUCUACCCAUGUUUUUUGCGUACUAUUUGUUUCCUUGGUGGGCUUGCCCGCCAAUAGGACAAUUCAAACCACUUGUAAUUGCAGUCAGCGUCGGUAACAAUGUAAUAAUUACAACUUUCAACAACGGAUCUCUUGGUUCUGGCAUCGAUGAAGAACGCAGCGAAAUGCGAUAAGUAGUGUGAAUUGCAGAAUUCAGUGAAUCAUCGAAUCUUUGAACGCACAUUGCGCCCCUUUGGUAUUCCAUGGGGCAUGCCUGUUCGAGCGUCAUUUGUACCCUCAAGCUCUGCUUGGUGUUGGGUGAAUGUUCUCUGUGCUUGCGCAGACUGGACUCGCCUGAAAACAAUUGGCAGCCGGCAUAUUGGCCUGGAGCGCAGCACAAUUUGCGCCUCUUGUCAUGAUUGUUGGCAUCCAUCAAGAUAUUAUAUUAGCUCUUGACCUCGGAUCAGGUAGGGAUACCCGCUGAACUUAA